UACAAGAAAUAUUGUUGUCGCGCUGUGUU
rnacentral:sRNA from 1 species